rnacentral:rRNA from 1 species
AGGGGUGACAGGUGGUGCAUGGUUGUCGUCAGCUCGUGUCGUGAGAUGUUGGGUUAAGUCCCGCAACGAGCGCAACCCUUGUCCUUAGUUGCCACCAUUCAGUUGGGCACUCUAAGGAGACUGCCGGUGACAAACCGGAGGAAGGUGGGGAUGACGUCAAAUCAUCAUGCCCCUUAUGAGUUGGGCUACACACGUGCUACAAUGGACGGUACAAAGGGCAGCGAAGCCGCGAGGUGGAGCCAAUCCCAGAAAGCCGUUCUCAGUUCGGAUUGCAGGCUGCAACUCGCCUGCAUGAAGUCGGAAUCGCUAGUAAUCGCAGGUCAGCAUACUGCGGUGAAUACGUUCCCGGGUCUUGUUACACACCGA